GAUGAACGCUAGCGGCAGGCCUAAUACAUGCAAGUCGAACGGUCCGCUUCGGCGGAUAGUGGCGCACGGGUGCGUAACACGUAUGCAACCUACCUUACAUUGGGGGAUAGCCUUUCGAAAGGGAGAUUAAUACCGCAUAAGACAGUAGCUGGGCAUCCAGUAGCUGUUAAAGAUUUAUCGAUGUAAGCUGGGCAUGCGUCCAAUUAGUUAGUUGGUGAGGUAACGGCUCACCAAGACGAUGAUUGAUAGGGGAACUGAGAGGUCAAUCCCCCACACUGGCACUGAGAUACGGGCCAGACUCCUACGGGAGGCAGCAGUAGGGAAUAUUGGGCAAUGGACGCAAGUCUGACCCAGCCACGCCGCGUGCAGGAAGAAGGCGUUCUGCGUUGUAAACUGCUUUUAUAUAGGAAGAAACGACCCUUGCGAGGGGCAUUGACGGUAUUAUAUGAAUAAGCACCGGCUAACUCCGUGCCAGCAGCCGCCGUAAUAC
rnacentral:rRNA from 1 species